GCAGGCGUCAUCUGCUCCCUACAGGUUUUCAAACGCCAGUCUGUUCCCGCCGGUUUUUUUCUUCUUGUAUUUUGGGUAGGGUUGGGUUGGUUUCGCUAGAAACUGCGGAAUGUUUCAGAUCCUGUGGCUUAGAAGCAGCAACAGACAGAAUGGAAGCUGGUAUGAUUGACAGCUACUUGCAGCUGACUUUGGAUCAGCAGAGGACCAGCAGAGGGAGCACUUCUCUCCAGCGAUGUUCUGAGUCUACCAGGCGGUAGGAAAAUUCGCUUGGACUGAGGAAUAGUAGUCUUCAAAUGAAUGGGCUUUCUGAUCACAAAAUAUCAAACGACAAACUUAUCUAAUGUGUAAAGAAAUGAGUAAGAAAAUUAAAACACCAACACAAACCUAAC
ensembl:lincRNA 1700042D02Rik RIKEN cDNA 1700042D02 gene